CGGGACUUUUACAACUUCUAUAAUAAAAGUCCUUAGAAAAAGGUUAUCUUUGGACUUUUAUUUUAUUUGGAAUAAAAUAAUCAGUCAACCCGCACUUUUAUUUUUUAA